CGAAAGGCGUAGUCGAUGGGAAACGGGUUAAUAUUCCCGUACUUGGUGUUACUGCGAAGGGGGGACGGAGAAGGCUAUGUUGGCCGGGCGACGGUUGUCCCGGUUUAAGCGUGUAGGCUGGUUUUCCAGGCAAAUCCGGAAAAUCAAGGCUGAGGCGUGACGACGAGGCACUACGGUGCUGAAGCAACAAAUGCCCUGCUUCCAGGAAAAGCCUCUAAGCAUCAGGUAACAUCAAAUCGUACCCCAAACCGACACAGGUGGUCAGGUAGAGAAUACCAAGGCGCUUGAGAGAACUCGGGUGAAGGAACUAGGCAAAAUGGUGCCGUAACUUCGGGAGAAGGCACGCUGACACGUAGGUGAAGUGAUUUACUCAUGGAGCUGAAGUCAGUCGAAGAUACCAGCUGGCUGCAACUGUUUAUUAAAAACACAGCACUGUGCAAACACGAAAGUGGACGUAUACGGUGUGACGCCUGCCCGGUGCCGGAAGGUUAAUUGAUGGGGUCAGCGCAAGCGAAGCUCCUGAUCGAAGCCCCGGUAAACGGCGGCCGUAACUAUAACGGUCCUAAGGUAGCGAAAUUCCUUGUCGGGUAAGUUCCGACCUGCACGAAUGGCGUAAUGAUGGCCAGGCUGUCUCCACCCGAGACUCAGUGAAAUUGAACUCGCUGUGAAGAUGCAGUGUACCCGCGGCAAGACGGAAAGACCCCGUGAACCUUUACUAUAGCUUGACACUGAACAUUGAGCCUUGAUGUGUAGGAUAGGUGGGAGGCUUUGAAGUGUGGACGCCAGUCUGCAUGGAGCCAACCUUGAAAUACCACCCUUUAAUGUUUGAUGUUCUAACGUGGACCCGUAAUCCGGGUUGCGGACAGUGUCUGGUGGGUAGUUUGACUGGGGCGGUCUCCUCCUAAAGAGUAACGGAGGAGCACGAAGGUUGGCUAAUCCUGGUCGGACAUCAGGAGGUUAGUGCAAUGGCAUAAGCCAGCUUGACUGCGAGCGUGACGGCGCGAGCAGGUGCGAAAGCAGGUCAUAGUGAUCCGGUGGUUCUGAAUGGAAGGGCCAUCGCUCAACGGAUAAAAGGUACUCCGGGGAUAACAGGCUGAUACCGCCCAAGAGUUCAUAUCGACGGCGGUGUUUGGCACCUCGAUGUCGGCUCAUCACAUCCUGGGGCUGAAGUAGGUCCCAAGGGUAUGGCUGUUCGCCAUUUAAAGUGGUACGCGAGCUGGGUUUAGAACGUCGUGAGACAGUUCGGUCCCUAUCUGCCGUGGGCGCUGGAGAACUGAGGGGGGCUGCUCCUAGUACGAGAGGACCGGAGUGGACGCAUCACUGGUGUUCGGGUUGUCAUGCCAAUGGCACUGCCCGGUAGCUAAAUGCGGAAGAGAUAAGUGCUGAAAGCAUCUAAGCACGAAACUUGCCCCGAG
rnacentral:rRNA from 1 species